CUCCAAGGGCAGACAGGGAUCAUGCAUUUACUGCACCUUGGGUAGUCUCCACCUACCAGAUAAUAUCAGGAGUCCACAUCUAUCACUUCUCUCACUUUCCUGUAAAUGCCAGAGUGGUGGAAGUCCAUUAUGGGACCCUAGAAAUGUAAGUGUAAGCAUGAAUCUAACCGUAAGCAUUACGUGCAAAGUUAGCUGUGUCAGAGUGAUACACGGUACUCAUCUUGCUUCUGGAAACAUUGGACCUGAAAAUUGUAUGCGUUUCAAAUAUGUUUGUAUUAUAAUUGAUAAUGCCUCAUUUGUAUUCCUUCAUCUAACCAAUUCUAUUUAGUGCUUGGACGGAUUUUAAUUUUUUUUUUUUUUAGUGUUCCAUUCCUUAUUCUGAGCUGAUUUCAACCUUCAACCUUGAUUUAAUAUUCACACUUGUGAUAUUGGCAACUAUAAUGCUUGUGUUGCCACCUCCUAAAGAGAAAAGAGAAUUAAGAUUUUAUGCACAGAAGUCAAAUGAUGAUCGUGGGCAACUGAUCGUUGUGUUGCCACUCCCUGAUUAGAAAAGAGAAUAUUUGUAGUAAUGUUAACGAUUAAAAUGAUGAAUGUCGGGCAUCCAUUACUGCUCGGGUUGCAAAGGCCUGACGAGAAAAGAGAACAAAUUUAGUUUAAAUGCAAGACAUUUAUAGAUCGUUUAAACUAUUAAUGUUGGUGAAUCAAAAAACAUUGAUUACAACCUACACAAAUAUUUGCGUGUUUUGCCGAUAUCAACUAGGGACUGGCUCCCUGUAUUUUCAGCACCAAGACACACACAGAGAGAGAGAUGUGUCGUGGGAGAGGCUGAGGGUUUGAUUUACGAGGAGGGUUUAGCGGGAGGAAGAUUGGUGGUGGUGUGUUCAUUAAGACAGUGGAGGAGGAGAAGCGAGACGGGGUUGGGGAGAGAGAGAGAGAGAGAGAGAGAGAGAGAGAGAGAGAGAGAGAGAGAGAGAGAGAGAGAGAGAGAGAGAGAGAGAGAGAGAGAGAGAGAGAGAGAGAGAGAGAGAGAGAGAGAGAGAGAGGCCAGUGAGGGGACGGGGUGUUAGACUGGGCCUGGAGGGGGGUGGUGGGGA
rnacentral:lncRNA from 1 species